rnacentral:tRNA from 1 species
GGGGACGUAGCUCAGAUCUGGAUAGAGCGCCUGCUUUCGGGCGGGAGAAACGCUGGUUCGAAUCCCGUCGUCUCCACCA